rnacentral:lncRNA from 1 species
CAUUGAUACUGAUUUGAUCUCACUUGGAUUCAUGUUUCAAUAUUUCAGUUUCUUUACAUGUAACAACAGUUCCAUGUUGAAAAAAUGAUUGUUGGGUUUUACAUGUUGAUGGCAAUCUUUCCAAAUGUUUUUUAUUCACUUUCUUGCUCUAGUAAAUUGCAUCCAAUAAAAAGAAUUUUGACACUUUUUAGUGGAUCAACAUUUAACAAUGAUUCAGUCUUCAUUUUUCCCACAAUUUUAUGUUUUUUACAGAUAGAUAACACAAUAAAAAAUAAUAAGACUGUAGACAAACUAUUUAAAAUUUAAUACUGUUGUUUUAGCAAAUGUCUGACGUUUAAAAUAGUUGCUUUGCUUAUUACUUCUAAAAGGUUCAUUUCUACUCUAUAAAAUUUAGUAGGUAAGAUUCCAGGUAAAUGUAUAUGUUUACUAUUAAAUAAUUAUGUCUAAAAACACAGCUGAAUCUGAUUUUUAAAAAAAUUUUCCAAAUGUAAUAUUUUACUACCUGUGCUGCUAAAUUUGUAUUGUUUCCCAAGUGAUUUAAUUUUGUAAAUGUUUCUUAAAACUUGUGUUUUUUCAUCUUCAAAGGACCCUUCUAUAAUUGGUUGAUUUAUAGAGCAAAACCAAUAAAAUGACCAAAAAAUUCAAACCCAUAAUAAAAUGUAUUUAUAUAUACAUAUACUUUCAGUUCCUCUUUUGUUUUAUAAAAGAUGCACAAAGAUAUGCAAGUUAGUGAAUCUUUUGUAUUGUCCUUAAAUAAAUGAGGAAAUUAGUUACUUAACUCCUAGCUUCAAAAGAUAAAUGGUAAUCUGCACGAUUGGUCGUAGAAGGAUUUGUUAUUUGGGAUACAUACGAAGAAAAGUUUAAAACAUGGCUUUCAGCUGCGUAUUGCAGAAUGCAAGCUUUAUCAGACAAUAUACUAUGAAGAGAGUUUUUCUUUCUCUCUCUUUCCCUGUCACUCCCACUGUUAAAUUCACUUUUGAAUGCUCAGAAGCUAGCAGUAGCAAUCAAAUGAAAGUGUUCAAUAAAUACUUGUUGAUUUAUUCAAGUUAUAGAACAUGAGUUUUGAUAAGUUGUACGAAUUUUUAUUUUUAUUGUUGAAAAGGCUUCAAAUGAUAUAGCUAAAUGAACGUGGUUACAUCUGUGUUGGUAAUUUUUUUCUUUUUUAGACAGAUGAUAAAGAGCCAGGAAAUUAAAUAUAAGACCAGCCAAUGUGGCACAAUGAAAAUAAAUUAGUCUUUUUAAAUUUAGUUAAUGCCAUAGCUAAGGCUUAGCAUCUGAUGAGGUGGGGCGGGGAGAGUAUACAUCUUCACCAUGCUUUGUCUUUUUUUUCCUCUUAAAGAAGAUCUGCACUGCACAUAACUAAAAAGUUAAGGGUUUUUUUUUAAAAGCUUUUUCUUUAGAAAAAUGCUUAUGCUUAAAAUGUUCCCAUAUUUUAAUUUAGCUAAAAUAUCAUUUUUUAUGAAGUGCAAAUUAUAAAAGUUUUGAUGAGAGCAAUAGUCAUCCCCAUACUUUAGUCAAGCAAAAUCUCAUUAUUCUCAAAGAUAUUUUUUGAUUUGUAACCAAGGCAUUAUUAGAAAAAUUUAUAUUAUAAUUAAAAUGUGGUACUUAAACACAGGGAAUACUUUCUAAAAUCCAUCCACACACUAAAGUCAGUUAACACUGUAGCUGGCACUUUGCAAAUAUUUACAAUUUAAUCACCAUAAGAACACUGUGAAAAUUUUAUUCCAAUAUUACAAAUAAAAAUUGAAGAUAAGAAUUUAGGUAGCUUUCUCAACAUAGUACACUUGGUAGCUAGUAGAGAUAGAAUUCAAAUAAAAAUGCACCACAUAUUAAAGACUUUACUCUUUGCUGAAAUACUACUCUGACUUCCUUUUGAUUUCACUUGACUUUGCAAUCACUUAUUGAACUUUUAUUAUGUACAUAACUUGAAGCCUAGGUAUUUACUAUUGCUUAUGGGCUUCAAAAAGUGCCCCAAAUUAUCUAAUUCAACCCAACUUUAUUUAUCAUCCAGUACUUUAAAGACAUUGUUAUCAUACAUUUGACUGGUCAAAAAAAAAAUCAAGCUCUAUUUCCUGUGACUUCUUUCCUUUCAUGUAUUUCUGGGUUUUCUAUAAUCUUGUGCCCUAUUCUUAGACAAAAAUCCCAUAUUAAUUUUUAAUCUUAAGUUUUCCUUCAUUAAUUAUACUUAUUUGCCUCUUUUCCUUACUUGGAUACAAGUCAAGGUUUGCUUCGGAGAAUAUCAAGUGAACAAAUUAGAAUUAAUGAGUGUGGAGACCAUAAAGAACACUAGAAAGUAGAAAUCCUGAGUCUUUAUCUUAAAACGAACGUGGAUGGAAGAGUCCUUAGAAGUUAUAUAAACUUUUGAGGAUCCCACAUCCAGUUAGGGGGCUCGCACACUGAGGCUUUCAAGUCUAGUUUCAAUUUGUGCGUUUUGCCAUCAUUCAGCCAACACUCAGUGCUUUCUGUGCAUCUGUGCUUGGCUGCUUUCAGUUGUCCAAUUAUUUAUCUUGUUUCUGUAUUUGUCCAUGUUGUCUCCUCCAGAGAGUGCAAACUUUUUGAAGUCAGUCAUUAAUUUUAUGAAGAAAUCCUGGUAUGUUUUUGAAGCAUCUCAUUGAAUAUUUCAUAAUUUAAUGAAGAGAUUGGAUGAUUUUGGACAGUAUUACAUACGGAAAAGCUACAUGAUACAUAUUUGUGGUACCAGAACAAUGCUAUUAAAAUCAGCCCAUGAUGUUUCUGAUGAGAUUGCAAAGUUUGUGUCGAGUCUUAAGUCUGUAUAUGAAACAAUUAAAUUCUAUGGAAAGAGACUGCCACAGAAAAAGAAAAUAGGAAUUAACUAAGGAAAACAUAAAAAUCACCUUUUUAGUUGAUUUUUGAAACCCAAGAUACUUUGUUUUUAUAUUCACAACAAUUUAAACAACUGAUAUAGCAUUAAGAUCAAUGAUACAAUAACUCAAUUAAUACUUUCUAUCCCAAUAUUACUCUAAAAGAAGAAAAUGUUUAUUCCUUAUUACAUAAUAGGAAGGAUAAUCAACAUUCAGUCAGAGCUUUUAUUGUCAGAUAAACUUAACUGUAUGAAUGAAGUUAAAAAUAUUUAUUACUACAAAUGAUCUAAAGUUUUCACAUUUUACAUUUCAACUAACAUUAAAAAUUAAAUAUCUCUUUA